GGAAAGUCCUGAUGCUGGGCUGAUGAGCCUGCCACUCCCUUAGCUCACCUCUGCCUGCAUCUCUUUCCCACUGAUGGUCUUCCUCUGGGGCAGCUGAAACCCUGCGUCCUGUCCCUGAGCUGCCUGGAGAGGAUGGCUGACGCCACAUCAGUUACCUUCCAUUGCUGCAAGAAGAUGCCCGAGGAAGCUGACAAGGAAGUCCAGGUCUCUCUCCAUCAGAGCCGAUGAGAAGUUCAGACCUCACACACCGCUGUUCAUGUGCUAGGACCAUCUUCUACCCAUGGAGUCUAGAUAGAAAUGAAUGGGACACAUGGAGAAGAUGUGAAGAUAUAAC
rnacentral:lncRNA from 1 species